GGGGUGCAAACUGAACUAUUUUUAUACUAUUUAGAUAUACUUCCGUAACAAACGCAAUUGGCUCGAGAUCUGCAAACAAGUUAUAACAAGGUUGUUGUCAAGCCGAUAUCAGGAUGUGUUCGCAUUGCUUGUUCCCAGUUGUUGUGACAAGUCUGGAACAAGUUGUUGUCACCUUGUUACAAGGUUGAUGACGGUAACAGACUUGCUACAAGUUGUUCCAACGAAGUUGUUACGAGCUUGUUGUCAUCAGACUUGCUGGAACAACUUGUUGCGAGUCUGUUAGCCUCAUUAACCUUUGUUAGAAUUUAAAAAUAGUUUCUGUUUAGCAUUAAUUUGUUCAGGAAAUGGCUGAGAAAAUUGUAAAAUGGAAUGCAAAACUAUUCCUCGAAUGCCUCGAAAUAAAGUUUUUUAAAAAUACGCUUUUCACUUUUCAAGUUUCGAAAACAGAAUACAGCGUCAGGACACAAUGAAAACAUGACAAGAUGAUAACAACUUGUUCCAGACUUGUGAACAGCUGGGAACAAGCAGUGCGAGCACAUCUUGUUGACAAGCUCCGAGACUUUUACACGUGUAUGUAUAUCAUCGUCAUUGCAAUGACGAGAAUUUUACCAAUUUAUGCAAAAACAACGAAAGCUAUGCAUUUAAGUAAUCCUCUGACAUCCACAACUACAACACCCGAAACAAACAGAACUUACAUUUGGAACGCUUCGAGAAAAACUGGGAUUUGCAGACAUUCGCCCGCCUUCGCCCGCCAUGUUUUCAACGACUGGAACAGUACCUGUGGAACUCCGGGAAACAGAACAAUUUGUAUCAUUGAAAAUUGAACCUAACAGAAACAUUUGACACUUUGAUAAGACACUCCACCGAAGUUGUCGGACGCGAUAUAACAUAAGUUUUAACAUUAAUGCACCUAUCAAUAUAAACUCCGCGGGGGGGUGGGGGGCAAAGGGGGUGAUUUCACAAAAGAGCUGAAAUUUUUGGAUAAC